ensembl:lncRNA
GGACGGCAGGUAGCCUAGUGGUUAGAGUGUAGGGGCGGCAGGUAGCCUAGUGGGGGCGGCAGGUAGCCUAGUGGUUAGAGUGUAGGGACGGCAGGUAGCCUAGUGGUUAGAGUGUAGGAACGGCAGGUAGCCUAGUGGUUAGAGUGUAGGGACGGCAGGUAGCCUAGUGGUUAGAGUGUAGGGACGGCAGAUAGUCUAGUGGUUAGAGUGUAGGGACGGCAGAUAGUCUAGUGGUUAGAGUGUAGGGGAGGCAGGUAGCCUAGUGGUUAGAGUGUAGUGGAGGCAGGUAGCCUAGUGGUUAGAGUGUAGGGAUGGCUGGUAGCCUAGUGGUUAGAGUGUAGGGACGGCAGGUAGCCUAGUGGUUAGAGUGUAGGGACGGCAGGUUGCCUAGUGGUUAGAGCGUAGGGACGGCAGGUAGCCUAGUGGUUAGAGUGUAGGGACGGCAGGUAGCCUAGGGGUUAGAGUGUAAGGACGGCAGGUAGCCUAGUGGUUAGAGUGUAGGGAUGGCAGGUAGCCUAGUGGUUAGCGUGUAGGGACGGUAGGUAGCCUAGUCGUUAGCGUGUAGGGGCGGCAGGUAGCCUAGUGGUUAGAGUGUAGGGACGGCAGGUAGCCUAGUGGUUAGAGUGUAUGGACGGCUGGUAGCCUAGUGAUUAGAGUGUAGGGGCGGCAGGUAGCCUAGUGGUUAGAGUGUAGGGACGGCAGAUAGCCUAGUGGUUAGAGUGUAGGGGCGGCAGGUAGCCUAGUGGUU